AUUGAACGCUGGCGGCAUGCCUUACACAUGCAAGUCGAACGGCAGCGGACCUUCGGGUGCCGGCGAGUGGCGAACGGGUGAGUAAUAUAUCGGAACGUACCUUUCAGUGGGGGAUAACUAGCGAAAGUUACGCUAAUACCGCAUAUUCUGUGAGCAGGAAAGCAGGGAGUCGCAAGACCUUGCGCUGAUUGAGCGGCCGAUAUCAGAUUAGCUAGUUGGUGAGGUAAAGGACUCACCAAGGACGACGAAUCUGUAGCGGGUCGUGAGAGGAUGAUCGCCACACUGGAACUGAGACACGGUCC
rnacentral:rRNA from 1 species